UACGAAGGGGGCUAGCGUUGUUCGGAAUCACUGGGCGUAAAGGGCGCGUAGGCGGCUUUGUAAGUCGGGGGUGAAAGCCUGUGGCUCAACCACAGAAUUGCCUUCGAUACUGCAUGGCUUGAGACCGGAAGAGGUUAGUGGAACUGCGAGUGUAGAGGUGAAAUUCGUAGAUAUUCGCAAGAACACCAGUGGCGAAGGCGGCUGACUGGUCCGGAUCUGACGCUGAGGCGGCGAAAAGCGUGGGGAGCAAACAGG
rnacentral:rRNA from 1 species